GGCUGGCAGCAGGGCUGCAGAGUGCAGGUGCAGGGAGCAGGGGCUGUGGGCUGUCCUCCCUGCAGCCCUCACCCGGCUUCCGAGACCUCUUGGCUCCUCAUCAGGCAUUUGGUGCCCUCAUUCUUCCCCUCUAGGCCAGUCCCCGACAUCCCAGGGGACCUGUGUCCUGCUUCUAGGUGCCUAUCCGGUCCCCCAGACCCAAGAGGAAAUCACUGCAGAUGGGCGGGUGAUCGGCAAGGGGGUUCUGAUCUGAGCCUGCCAGAGAGGCCUAGAGAGGGAGAUGUUGUUUAAAGAAAUAAGAGGUGGGCCGGGCUCACACCUGUAAUCCCAGCACUUUGGGAGGCCGAGGUAGGUGGAACACUGAGGUCAGGAGUUGGAGAUCAGCCCGGUCAACAUGGCAAAACACCGUCUUUACUAAAAAUACAAAAAUUAGCUGGGUGUGGUGGUGCGUGCCUGUAAUCCCAGCUAGUUGGGAGGCUGCGGCACGAGAAUCGCUGGAACCCAGGAGGUGGAAGUUGCAGUGAGCUGAGAUCAUGCCACUGCACUCCAGGCUGGGUGACAGUGUGAGACUCUGUCUCAAAGAAAGGAAAGAAAGAAGGAAAAAAAGAAAUAAACAAAAGAAAGGAAAGAAAGAGAAAGGACAAAAGAAAGACAGACGAGGUGACAAGUUCAGUGGAAGGAAGGCCCCACUGCUGGGACAGCCACUCCACAGAGCACACUUCUGAAGACUUGGCGCCCUUGUGGACCCCAGGCAACCGGGGGACUGCAUGCUCAAAACCUGGUGGGGUCUGGUCGUGGUUACACCCAGGAGGAUUUCCUCUCCCCUUCCAGGAAUGCUUAGAUUGAAUGGGGACAAAGCAGCGCCACUGAACACCCGUAAAACCUUAAGACAUGGCCUGUUCCAUGAAUUUAUCCCUGUUUCUCAUGAGUUAAAAGUAGGCCUUUCAUGAAGCCCUUUGGUCCUCGGCCCCUGCCCAGCAGAUAAGCAGACACAAAUGAGGGAGGGACCUUCAGGAACAAGGAGAGGGGGCAGGGAGAGAGGGGACUUUAAAGAGGGCCCUGUGACCUUGUAGGCAGGUUAGGCUUCCAGCUGCAGGAGACGGCUAAGAUGAGAAGGUGGAGCCUCACCUGGGGACAUGGCACUCAAGUCCCCUAGGUGGCCUCCGCACCCUCCAUGUGCCCUCAUGAGCUUUUGAGCACACAAGGGGUCCUGGCUGGGCCCUGCUUUGUUCCUUUAGGUUUCCUGGAGGGCCUGUGCUGCCUCGGCCUUUCCCACUUCCCCAGUGUGCUGGACAUGGGAUCACAGUCCAUUUGAGCAGUGGCCAGAGCAGCGACCAGAAGGAGCCUGGCCUCUGCUCUCCAGCCCAUGGCGGGCUGCCCUGGUGGCUGGGCACUUGUUUGGGCUUCCGUGUGGUCAGUUGUAGUCAACAGGACACUGGCAAACAUGGGCAGAACUGCGGGGCCCCUCGUUGCUGAGGAGGACCUGCUGAUGGCCAGCGUGUGUCCUUCCAGCUGGGCCUGGGGCAGCUGCACUGUGUUCUGCUGGCGUGGUCUGAAAGACAAGACCCAAGGCUCUAGGUUUGCUUGGAAGAUUCUGGUAAAUGCUGCUAUCAUUGACUUUAUGUAAAGACCCGACAUCCUUUAAAAAGAGAAAAAGAACUAGCCAAGAGACUUUCCGCCUGAGUUGAAGAGUCAAGUCAGGGAGCAGCUUGGAGUGAUGCCACAGGUGGGGAGCCCACGAUGCCCUGCUGUGGAGGUCAGGCCCCUGAAGAUACAACCAGCUGGCAGCACUUGAUGAAGAUGUGGCGGGUCUGCCUCUUCACUUGACGAUGAGGGAGACCCUUUAGAAAAAAAAUAGAUAACAACCCCCAAACCUUCAUUCCAUGUGGUGACGUGGACUCACCUUGGUGCACAGACAGGGCCCCUGAAUGAUGCAUCAGAAUCCCACCAAUCCCAAGUGACUGAUGCCAGACACAUCCUGAAAGCACCUCCGAAUAAUACGGAAUGACUUCUAGAGGAGAUACCGAUGGUUUGGCUAAAAACCUUCAUCUUCACUCUUCUUCAGGAAAACCUGAAACUGCUGAAUUAGCCCAUUUUGCAUUGCUAUAAAGGAAUACCUGAGGCUGGGUAAUUUAUAAAGAAAAGAGGUUGGGAGGCUGAAGCAGGCGGAUCAUGAGGUCAGGAUUUUGAGACCAGCCUGGCCAACAUGGUGAAACCCUGUCUGUACUGAAAAAAGAAAAAAAAAAAAAAA
ensembl:lncRNA